rnacentral:rRNA from 1 species
CCUACGGGGGGCGGCAGUGGGGAAUAUUGGUCAAUGGGGGAAACCCUGAACCAGCAACGCCGCGUGAAGGAAGAAGGCUUUCGGGUUGUAAACUUCUUUUAAGGGGGACGAUAAUGACGGUACCCCUUGAAUAAGCUACGGCUAACUACGUGCCAGCAGCCCCGGUC